rnacentral:lncRNA from 1 species
GGAAAUCACCUGGCACUUGAACAGGGCAUCCUGCCCAAGGACGUGGACUGGGAGCACAGGUUCCUGCUCACUGUAUGGAUGUUACAGAGACCGGGACACCGAAACCAACGUGGUCCAGGACACUAUGGUCUCUACAAAUGGCAGGCCUAACUCACUCUUGCACUCAGCCAGCAGACACGAUUGCUUCAAGCAUUUGGUCAUGAGUUGGGGAAACUUCCUUGAACAAUAGAGAAGCACUGCGAUGCUUGGCCAGUGUUAUUCUGGGACAUCAUUGCUUCCAUUACUGAGCUUCUGAAUGGUGGUUAUGUCCCUCUUCCUAGAGCCUUCUCCAUGGUAUUGGUAAGUAAAGUGAUGCCAUGACCCUGACAAGGGACACAGGUGGGCUUUUCAAUCUGAUAAACUAGACAUCACUCUGGCAUAACCACAUUCUCGAGUUUUUUGUUCUCUUCCCCUACAACCUACACUGCCAGUACUGGUAUGUCUAAUUUAUUUAAUGUUGACCUUUGCAUUUUGAAGAUUCAGGUUUAUUGAGGUAUAAUUUACAUGUACUAAAAUAUGCCUAUUUAAGGUAUUUAUUUCUAUAAAUUUUGACAGUUAUAGUUGUGUAAUCACCAACACAAUCAGAUGUAGAACACUGUCAUCACUUCCAAAAAGUUCCAUUAAUUCGUAGAUUGCAUAGAAUUUAUAUCAUAGAUUGUAACUGAAUUUUAAUUUAUACAUUUAAAGUUCUUUUUAAAAAUUUUUGGUAGUUUUGACAGGAGGAAAAAGGUUGCUGGAUUUCAUUUGUUAAAUAAAUCUUUUAUUUGUAUAAGAAACCCA